rnacentral:rRNA from 1 species
UACGAAGGGGGCUAGCGUUGCUCGGAAUCACUGGGCGUAAAGCGCACGUAGGCGGCUUUCUAAGUCAGGGGUGAAAUCCUGGAGCUCAACUCCAGAACUGCCUUUGAUACUGGAGAGCUAGAGUCCGGAAGAGGUGAGUGGAACUGCGAGUGUAGAGGUGAAAUUCGUAGAUAUUCGCAAGAACACCAGUGGCGAAGGCGGACUCACUGGUCCGGUACUGACGCUGAGGUGCGAAAGCGUGGGGAGCAACAGG